rnacentral:rRNA from 1 species
GCAUAUCAAUAAGCGGAGGAAAAGAAACUAACAAGGAUUCCCCUAGUAACGGCGAGCGAAGCGGGAAGAGCUCAAAUUUGAAAGCUGGCACCUCCGGUGUCCGCGUUGUAAUCUCGAGACGUGUUUUCCGUGCGGCUCUAUGGACAAGUCCCUUGGAAUAGGGCAUCGUAGAGGGUGAGAAUCCCGUACUUGCCAUGGAAGAACCGUGCUUUGCGAUACACGCUCUAAGAGUCGAGUUGUUUGGGAUUGCAGCUCAAAAUGGGUGGUAGACUCCAUCUAAAGCUAAAUAUCGGGGAGAGACCGAUAGCGAACAAGUACCGUGAGGGAAAGAUGAAAAGCACUUUGGAAAGAGAGUUAAAAGUACGUGAAAUUGUCGAAAGGGAAGCACUUGAAGUCAGCCAUGCUGCUUGAGACUCAGCCUGGCCUUUGGGCUUGGUGUAUUUCUCGGUGGCAAGCCAGCAUUGGUUUGGGUCGUCGGAGAAGCGCAUAGGGAAUGUAGCGUCUCCGGGCGUGUUAUAGCCUUAUGCAGGAUACGACGACCUGGAUCAAGGAACGCAGUGUGCCCUCUGGGCGGGUCUUCGGACACCUUCACACUUAGGAUGCUGGCGUAAUGGCUUUAAGUGGCCCGUCUUGAAACACGGACC